GACGAACGCUGGCGGCGUGCCUAAUACAUGCAAGUAGAACGCUGAAGGAGGAGCUUGCUUCUCUGGAUGAGUUGCGAACGGGUGAGUAACGCGUAGGUAACCUGCCUGGUAGCGGGGGAUAACUAUUGGAAACGAUAGCUAAUACCGCAUAAGAGUAGAUGUUGCAUGACAUUUGCUUAAAAGGUGCAAUUGCAUCACUACCAGAUGGACCUGCGUUGUAUUAGCUAGUUGGUGGGGUAACGGCUCACCAAGGCGACGAUACAUAGCCGACCUGAGAGGGUGAUAGGCCACACUGGGAAUGAGACACGGCCCAGACUCCUACGGGAGGCAGCAGUAGGGAAUCUUCGGCAAUGGACGGAAGUCUGACCGAGCAACGCCGCGUGAGUGAAGAAGGUUUUCGGAUCGUAAAGCUCUGUUGUAAGAGAAGAACGAGUGUGAGAGUGGAAAGUUCACACUGUGACGGUAUCUUACCAGAAAGGGACGGCUAACUACGUG
rnacentral:rRNA from 1 species